rnacentral:rRNA from 1 species
UACGAAGGGAGCUAGCGUUACUCGGAAUACUGGGCGUAAAGCGUGCGCAGGCGGCUUUGUAAGUCGGAAGUGAAAGCCCAAGGCUUAACCUUGGAAUUGCUUCGAAACUGCAUGGCUAGAGUUCUAGAGAGGAUGGUGGAAUUCAUAAUGUAGAGGUGAAAUUCGUAGAUAUUAUGAGGAAUACCGAUGGCGAAGGCAGCCCCUGGGAUAACACUGACGCUCAUGCACGAAGCGUGGGAGCGAA